rnacentral:lncRNA from 1 species
AACGGGGCCGGUGUUUAUUGGACUCUGAUUCACGGGCAAUGCUUCCUCUUACGGAAACACGUUUACGAAGACCAUUGGAUGAUCCUGCAAAGUGCUGCAAGAAGAAAUAUAUGGAAGCCAAAGAAGUAGAAUUUGUAGCGAAUUAUAGCGAAGAAUUCAAUAUAGAGAGUUGUGUCCUAGUCUGUGCGACCACAGACUCCGAUGGCACGAAGUCCUAUAAUAUUCUUCCUGCUCCGGAUUACAUCUUUUGCGGGAUGGAUGAAGAAAUACCACUGGCUUGCAUCGGCGGCAUCUGCCGAGAAGUUCCAGCAGCGCCAAAGCCUUUUCAUGAGUGGAUGAAAGAUCGUAUAAAUGAGCAGUACGAAUUGCGGCCCGCUCUAAAUAAUAAGUGACAUUUCGGCUUCCAUGAUUGUGGAGAUUCGUUGCGCCGACAGGAUUUCUAAAGUAAAUCCACAUAAUGGGUCUUUCACAGGAUGCGCUAUUUCUUUACUGACAUUGCAAAAUAAGUAGUAUGCAUUAAAAAUGGUGUUCUCUAGCAUUGCCUCUAUGAAGGAAACGAUCUGCU